rnacentral:lncRNA from 10 species
CUGCCAUCUGGCAACAUCUGAGAACCCCCAGGGAGAGCGGGGAAUGGCUGCGGUGGGGAGGCAGCCGCGUGGUUUCCAGAGGCCGGCGGGCCUCCCGCCUCCGCCAGGAUGCUGGGUUUGCCGGGCUCCCCUGCAGCCAGACGGCGGGGAGUAACACCAGCACUGAGUGAGCACUUACCCUGGGGGAAGCAAGGGGCCUGGUCCCAAGUAGGGAAACAGGCCUGGAGAGAUGAAGAACCCGACUUGCCAGCCUCCAGCAGCAGCCCGUGAUUCCAAAUGAGUGCUGGAAAUCUGGACUCUGGGGAGGUCUCAGCUGAGCCCGCCCCUUCCCCCAAUCGCAGACCGGCACCCUAGUUUGCUACUUUGUUUCUACUGGGCUCUGAGUGACAGUCCAUGAGCAACUAAUGGGAACAGUACCUUUAAAAAGCGGCCAAAGAACACUGCACACAAACAGCCUUCCCGGGGGGGCCCCCUGGACUGUGAGUUAGUAACAGUAACAGCUAAGAGCUUCCCAAACAUCUCAAUUGCCUUUGUGAGGGAAAGACUUUCAACAUACCCAUUUUACAGGAAGGGAGAGGGAGACUCAGUUGGGAAGUCACCAGGGACACUGGGAAGCAUGUUGUAUGUGUCCCAGGCCAGGCUGCAGCUGGCUGGAGCAUGCUGUAUAUAUAUCCAGGGGGCUCCCGUCCAGUUGGCGCCAAUUUCUGCCCCUUGGGCUUUGUCUCUACCAUCUCCGGCCCAAUCCUUCAACCAUUCCUUCCUAAAGACUCCCUCC